CCUACGGGGGGCAGCAGUCGAGAAUUUUUCGCAAUGGGGGAAACCCUGACGGAGCGACGCCGCGUGGAGGAUGAAGGUCUUCGGAUUGUAAACUCCUGUCAUUUGAGAACUAGUAUCAGAAGAGGAAGAGGCGGCUAACUCUGUGCCAGCAGCCGCGGUAAUACAGAGGCCUCAAGCGUUGUUCGGAUUCAUUGGGCGUAAAGGGAGCGUAGGCGGUCGGGUAAGUCGGAUGUGAAAUCCUGGGGCUCAACCUCAGAACUGCAUUCGAUACUGCUCGGCUAGAGGACUGGAGAGGUGAGUGGAAUUCACGGUGUAGCAGUGAAAUGCGUAGAUAUCGUGAGGAAGACCAGCGGCGAAGGCGGCUCACUGGACAGUUCUGACGCUGAUGCUCGAAGGCCAGGGGAGCAAACGGGAUUAGAUACCCUUGUAGUC
rnacentral:rRNA from 1 species